GGGGAUGUAGUGUAGUGGCUAUCACAUCUGCUUUGCAUGCAGAAGGCCCCCGGGUUCGAUCCCCGGCGUCUCCA
rnacentral:tRNA from 1 species